AAAUUGAAGAGUUUGAUCAUGGCUCAGAUUGAACGCUGGCGGCAGGCCUAACACAUGCAAGUCGAACGGUAGCACAGAGAGCUUGCUCUCGGGUGACGAGUGGCGGACGGGUGAGUAAUGUCUGGGAAACUGCCUGAUGGAGGGGGAUAACUACUGGAAACGGUGGCUAAUACCGCAUAACGUCGCAAGACCAAAGAGGGGGACCUUCGGGCCUCUUGCCAUCAGAUGUGCCCAGAUGGGAUUAGCUUGUUGGUGAGGUAAC
rnacentral:rRNA from 2 species